CGUGAUUGAAACUUCAUUCUAUCCAUGUUGGAUUUUCACAGUCAGCUUCUUAUCAUUUGCAUGCCUGGAAGUAGCUGUUGUAAGGACCUGUUCCAUAGUUUUCUCGGGGACCGAAACAAGGCUGACUGGUCUGCAGUUUCCUGGAUCUUCCUUUUUUUCCCUUUUUGUAGGUGCACAUAGUAUUUGUUCUUCAUCAGUCUUCAGACUGUUAAAACCUGUCUCCACACAAAGAUGGUUUCCUACUGUUUGUUUUCCGCUUCCCCUGCGUGGGGAAGUAAUGUGGUUGACAUGAGACAAAUUGAUUAAAACACCAUGGAUGACAACAUGCAAAGAACAGAAGGUCCUUGUGUGUAUUGAUACCAGUCCAAAUUAGUUAAAAACAGGACAAAUUCUGGGCUGGAAAUGACAAUGGUUCAUGGAGACAUCUAGUCAUGACCUAAAUUCUAGAGGUGCCUUUGUUGAUGGUGGAAUGAUCCCAUCUGCAGAUCUAGGUGAAGUGCAGUUCUGUGUAGCAUGAGCUAUCAUAAAUAUUAUUCUUGCAAGUUUUAUUUAGCUGGGCCCAGUCUUUGGUCUAUCAUGCAUUCAGCAGUCAAGAUUUUGGUCUCUCUGCCAGUACCUGGAAGCCAGGUCUCUCCAAGACAGGGCGUGCUUGGUUUCACAGGACUAUUGUGAUAUUGAAUGCUGGUGUCUAGUUGUGAUGGAGUUCAUUAAAUGGAGCUGUCACAUCCUGAGAGGUAGCUAGAGUUUUAUUAGCUGAAAGGUCUGUGUAAAUUUUGCACAGACCAGUGUAGUAAGCCGGUGGCCUAGUUUUAGACUGAUGUUGAUAUCAAUAAUUAUAUAUAUCAAUCUGCGUUUAGCCACUGCAGUUAGUCAGCCUGAUUGCACCAGCUGUACAGCAACAUACAAUCUCAGACCUGUAUGUUUCUUUCAUGUUGCAAAACAGGGUACACAUCUUUAGCCCAGACUUACCAGCUUUGAAAUAACAGGCGUUCAACAAUGAUACCAUUGUAGUUGCAUUGGAACAUGCCAUUUUUACAUUUUAAUAACCACCACAUUGACUAAGACUAGGAAGUAUGUGCUCUCCCCUGCCAAAGGAUAGGUUUUUCUGGUUCAGCUCAAUGAGUGACCAACAUCCUUCAUAUAUCAGCUGGGGGCUCACCGUCUGGCUUCUGAGAAAAGCAAGAGGAGAAUAGUAAGGGCUGGAUAGGAAAUUAUAGAAAGACCAGGGAGGUUCAUGUGAGGCCUCUGAACGGUGCUGCCCUCCAAGGCAGCGAUUUGCUGAUACACAGCUGCACAUGGGUGUCCCUCUUCCACACCUAUGCAUUCAAAUUAUAAGUUGUAAUUGUAAUUACAAUUGUAAUUGUAAUUGUAAGGCAAUUGACAUGACAUUGCUUAACAGUGUUAUUAAUAUUCACAGAACAGGUAGAUAUGUGCUGUGUUAUGCCUCUUAUAUCUUUACUAAUUAAGCAUAUCCUCAAGCCUUCCUUCCAGGAGGGUGGAAACCUGGCAUCCACCCAGGCUCUGUUAAUACAAACUCGAUGUUACUUCAAGACGGUAAAAGGAGAGUGUGCUUUUCUUCUCCCUUUUUCAAAUCUUUUUUCUUUUUUUGCACUAGAAGUACCCAUUUCUGAUCUGGCUGGAAAGAGUCAAUAGAAAACAAGACACCACUGAAACAUACUGCUGUGCCCUUGAUGAGUAUUUACAUGUAUAUGCUUUAAUAGUCAGCUGAGUUUAAAUAAAUACACAGAACUCCUGUUUUUGGCCAAACAAAAAGCUGUUGGUGCUGGUGUUUGUUUCCCUCAUGCUGCUGGCUGCCUGCUGGUGUGGCAGAGGUGGAACUGUUCAGGGUGUCGUUUGCUUGAAACACUUUAUCACGACUCCCCAUGAGCCCUCCCUUCACCUGGUUGCUUACAGGUUUUCAAUGAAGGGCCCUGUUCACACAUGCAGCAACUCAAAUUGUCUCUAAAUAAACUUGUGUGUGUGGAGAGACAUUCAUGAGCACUUCCAGCGCGAUGACAAAUGGCAGGAGGGCCCACACGGACAACGUGGCCCCUCAGGGAUGUGUCUCCAUCAAGUUGUGCAAAGGUGCUGUAGGAGGGUGUGGAAACAUGACUUUUAACAUAAGAGCAGUGUCUUUUGGAGCUUUAGAGACCAGGCUGCAAGCGACAGACAUGCAGUGUUUAAUCUGUCACCUCUUGUCUAAUAUUGUAUCUCCAAACUUGACGGAUACUUCAGGUUUUACCCCCAAUUCCUCCCGGUGUGACUACCAGUCUGCUUCCUAAAAAACAACAGUCAUCUUAACCCUUAAAAGACACCUUAAACAGAUAGUUCUGAUAAAUAUAAUGAAGUCUUAAGAAUUUAUGUCCUGUCGUGCUCUUUUGCGGCCCUUGCUGAGAUGAUUCAUGAACUGCAGUUGAGCUUUGGCCUAGCAGAGGCCGUUCUUCUGCAGUGACCAAGAGAGGGGAAAAGCCUGCAAAUACAAGAGCUGCAGGAGGUUGUGGCCAGGUUUAUCCCAACAGGUUAAACAGGGACAAGGCAUAGCCCUGGGCACUGGUGUAUACCUGUCCGAACUUCGAGCUGCUGGCACAGCUCCAGCCCACACCGGCUAGUGCUUCUCCAGACAACGCCUGGGCACUGUCUGGGGACUCACACUGGCCAGGGGCCAUCCCCAGUAGUAAUUUGGCUGCAGGCACCUUGUUUUGGGGAGGUGAAAGGGCUUAGCUGUCUGGAUACGAGCUGCUGGGCAGUUGGCUCCGGUGCCAAGGAACAGUCCCUGGCUUGUCUUAUUUACAUGUAUGGACAAGGUGAAGGCUUUGGGAUACAGGAGCCUCAGUGGUAAGGCACCACACAUGUGAAUUUUGCAAUUCUGGAUGCAGUUUUGAAAUACAUCUGUUGAACUUUCAGGUACUGCUUUCAGAUACCGCCUCUCUUGAAAACCCUGAACUUGCUGAAUAUCUGUUAUUGGUCCCAUAGAGCAAGGAAGGGAAGAAACCCUUCCUCUUCAGAUAGCAGACAUAAAAUAAUGUGAAAGAAAUGUGAAAUGACUGGGGAGGUGAUUUAUUCUCCUCUAUAGGGCAUUCAUAGAUUGCUGUUGAUACAAUUAAAAAGCAUGCUGUAUCUCCCUAUUUGUGAGAAGAGGGAGAAGAAACAGAAGGAAAGACAGCUCAAAAACAUGGAAAUACCAAACAGAAAUGGUAGACAAUCUCAUGUACAGGGUCUUACUUGUUACGUAAUAAUGCAUAGGCUAUGUUUGUACAUAUCUGUACCAGUGUCUACUUUUUUUAUUAGUCAUAAAAUCAAUAGUAAAAGGCAUCCACUGUAGUCAAAUUGUUCAUGCUUGUCCCUGUUGAAAAAAUUACUUUUUCUGCCCUUAAAUUCCCAGGUGAGAUUAAUACAAAUAAAUAAGUUGUUUUGCCUCUAAGGAGUUAUGUUCCUGGGGAAAAACCUCUAUUGUGAUCUGAAUCAGUGCUCCAAAGCUCAUCCUGUAUAAACCAUUAGUCCUGGAAUCCAGCAGAGCUGAAUUACAGAUGAAAUGUUAUUUUGGUCCAUUACGUCAAUGCGUUGCUUGUGCUAGAGAACCUAAAACUGAACACAGUGCUCCAGAUGCAGUCUCACAAGUGUCAGAUAAAUGGGAAUGUUUAAUUAUUUCAACUUACACAGUUGUAUCGUCAUAGGAAGUAGCCUGGUUGGUCAGCCAAGAGAUCAGCAUCACUCUGCUUGUCUACACUGACCCAUAACAGGUUACCUUCACAGGGGUUGUUGUGUCUUUGGCUAAGGCGCUAAGGCUAGAACUGUGUCUGACUUGGCUUGAAAAGUAGUAGGUGUGCCUGGGUUCUGGUUGUAUGCAUUGAUGUAUCUGCAUGAGCUGUUAAAAUGGAGUCCCAUGAGCACAGGGCACAUGGUCAAGAGCAAUCAUGUGACAAGAUCUAAAAGCAGCAGGAGUUUGUCUGGUAUCUCAGAGGGCUUAGGGUGUAGAAUGGUCCUUUGUCAUUUCUGAACGUUCUUUGUACAUGGUUCUAUAUCCAUCCAGUCUUCUGUAUCAUCUGCUUUUUAACAAAAUCAGACCUGAAGGAAGGGACAUGAAACUUGACUCAGGCAUCUCGCUAUAACUGAACUGCUCUAGCUAGUGGAGCUGCACAAGGGUUUACAACACAUUUAUGCUAAAGUGAAGAACCAUGUGAAUAAAUGAAUAGCCCUAAAGUGCUGCAAACAAAUACUUGGGAUGAAUUGAGGGGAUGGGGAAAAAAUGCCCGUUCUCCUUGCCCUGCAUCCUCUCACAUCCCAUCUUUGACUACGCUCACCAAGGUGGGUGGACGAGAUCAAUAGAUGGAGGAGGUUAUAAAGCUCUUGUCAUGUUCCUAAGGUCUGAAAUCAGUUGACAAAAUGUGCACAGCCACAGAGGAACCUGAGAGCCUCUCUUCUCAGGCUGGGAGGUCUGAGCACUGCCAAAGGCUUCUGGCCCCCUCUCCCAGCCUAAUGCUUUGAAAGAGUAUCGUUUGGCUCCAUGACACUGCGGGUCUGUUGACUGGUGCUUGUAUGUUUGUGCUUGGAUGUGUGCACAACUCAAAAGCAAGUCUGAGGUUAAGUAAAGCCCCUUGCUUGGUGGGGAACCUUGAUCAACGUGUCACAGAAUGUGACAACUUCCAUAAUGGUUUUCAAAAAAUGCAUAUGGGAUUUGCUGCCAGCUUCUAGGGGAGGGAUAUGCGGUAACCACUUGAAAAAUCUGACUUCUGGGCUCUGCCCUCAUCUCCACAGCAGUUUUGAACAAAUCAUUUGAUUUCUCUAUGCCAGCCCGUUGAUCAGUAAUACUGUACUAUUUAUCCGACAUCUUUGAGUGUUUGGCUUAUUGAAGGGCUUUUUGUGUUGGAGACUUACAGUGGGCUUUAUUAACUUUUUUUUUUUUUUAUGGUCAAAUUGAAAAAGAGUAUCUUUUUUUUCUUUCCCUCUUUAUGGACAGGCAUUUAAUACAUCUGAAAAUUUACUCCUUUUAUUGUGUCGUAAUUCAGGCAUCUAAAACCCUGGCCCAUUUUGAAUUUAGGCCAAACGCCCCUGCCAUGGCAUGACACAGUUUUCUCUUGGUUGGGCACACAACCUAACUCGGCACAGAUGAGUAUGGAUGUGAGAGUGAUAAAAACAUGAAAUGUUACAUUUCUUGGCUGUUAGGAUAUAGCAAAGUUUUUUCCUGUGUACAUUAGUUUUAGCAUGCUCAUAUGUUCCUCCAAGACAGUGGGGUUUAAUCUUCAUGAAAGGCCUGUGUAAGCAUGAAAUACUGGAAAUAAAAAGACAGCUGAGGGCAAUUCUGCAGUCAUUAUAGAUCUUUAUUUCAGGAGCAACAUGACUGCUGGGGUCAGUAAUACAACCCAGAGUGGACCUGCUUUUCGUACAUGCUAAUAAACAAGUGUUGGGGUGUUUAUGUGGAAAGAGGCAUACUUAUGAUGCAGAUCAAAAAGUUUUAUUAGGUAGGUGGAAACCCAGAAUGAUGCCAUGUCCUGCUUACCACCUUCUGAGGACACCUCUUCUGCCAACAUUUUAGUAAUUUGUCAACAAUCUCUUUUGCUACGUCCUUUUCGGUAAUACACUUCUGCUACAGAUCUUGAAAGAGUUUAAAGUUGAAGUAAAACUGGAUCUCCCAUCCCCACUGGACUUCAGUGCUGAUGAGAAUGAGAAUCAGGUAAAAGGCUUAUGAAAACAACUAUUUUUGGCUCAGCCCUGAUAGGACAACAGCUCCGCUGUUCCAUCUGAUAUUCAGUCAGUGUGACUCAUCUGUAGAGGACUUUCUGGCCCAUUUUCUUUAAAAUUGUGCUCUAUCCAGAGAACUGACUGGGGCUUUCUAAAACUGGAAACUGAAAAAGAACAUCUUGCGCGUUUAUUGAAUGUUGGUUGACCUUUUCUGCACCACCUCAGCUCAAAAGGUGUAAUAUGUGUUGUCUUAUGCAGCGAGGUGUUUUCAACCAAAAGAAUGCUUUUAUGGACUUUUUUUUUAAUCCUUCUGGAGGAGGGGAAUAAUGGAGAGAACAGGUUUUAAGGCCCCCAUGGAGAGUGAGGUCAGGUGUCCUUAGACUUAGUAGGUGAUGGCUGCUUCAGAAUGGGAAGAGUUGGCAAGACUAGAAGAGACCACUCUGAACCUCACCCUGGCCUCUGGGCAUACCUAGCUAACCCUUGGAUUUUCCAGGUAUUUGGGACUCCCAAAGCAUGAAGACUGCUGCCAAGCUUUGCGGGUGCCACAACUAAUACAAAUGUGACUCUCAGCAGAGACUCUGGAGAUAUUUCCUCCGUGAGUCCCCCAGUUGUCUAGGAUCUAGGAAUUCUGCUUUUCCCCAAACUGGGGAAAAUGAAAAAUGUUUUCCUCAGAAACUCAGAUACCAUAAAAAUCAUACCUUUGAGAGCAAAGGUUAGGGAGAACUCAAACUUGUCAUCUUCCUAGUGAGGACUCGUCCCUUCCUUUUCACUUGUUUAUUUCCCCUGAAGAUAUAACCUUAGGCCGCAAUUGGACAAGCUCUUUGUUAGUGUAAAGCUGUGAAUAAUAUAUCUCUCAAGGGCUUAAAGUACCAGGUUGCAUUAGGACUUUAGAAAGUAGUUGAAAGCUCCCUUUGCCAGAAGGAGCUUCCAUUCAUGGAAUCUCAAAGUGGUCUGAUGUGGACAUCAGUGAGCAGCUUUGUUGGCUGUACGUGAAAUCUGGCUCUGCUGAAGCCAGCGGCAAAACUGCCAUUGAUUUUAAGAGAUCUGAAUUUCAUCCCCAGUAUGUUUAUUUACAUUACUUUUUUUUCCUCUAUUUUUUCCUGUUGCUUUUGGAAUGUAGGCGUGGAGGAGUUGUGGAAAAUAUUGAUAUGAUCGAGACACCCGUACCUUUACGGUGAGGGGUGAGCAGAUGCCAUUGUGGGAAGACACAUUUAAAGUUUUGCCUGGCACUUUGAAAUGCUUUUAAUUUUUUCCUAUCUGUCUUGCUUCAGCUUUCCAGGUUAAACUCGUGCAUGAAUGACAGGUCUUACUGUUUUGAGCAUUCUGUGUUUUUCUUCGUUAUUUAGAUACUGAACUUGCAAAAUAUUCCUCUUAACAGGCCAAUUUGUACUUAACUGGAUCUUAACGAGACCAGUCUUCCCUUUCCUGGGAAAGUAUGUGCCUUUCACAAACCACAGCUAAAACUUGGUUUUUCAUUGAAAAACAAAGCACACAGCUCCUUGCAAAUGUCAGUUUUUCUUAGCAUGAAGCAAAUAUGCAUUUUGUAAAUGUGGGACACAGACCUAUUUUGAUGUGGGUCUUGAACAGGGCUUCAGUAUAGGGACAGCUCAUCUUUAAUUUAUAGUUACACGCAAUCGAGCCAUUCCAGGAAAAGACAUUUUGUGGUUCUUGGGCCAGGGAAGAAGAAGAAGGAUAAAAACCUUCUACCCUAAACAGAAACAGUUACAACACGCAGUACAGACCUAUGUUCCCUCAAUGAAAAGUUAGUGUAAAGCCCUUGAAAUGUUUUUCAGGAUUAUGGUCACUGAGAGACUGAAGCUAAAACUCUUUCAGGUAUCACCUAUUCUUUCUCUGGGUAAAACAGAAACUCCUGUUUGUUUGCUACCUCUGUUGCCUCAAGCAAGUUAAGUUAAAUUCAGCUGGCAACUGGUCACAAGCAGUGUUCUCCAGGGCUCAGUACUGGGGCCAGUUCUGUUUAAUAUCUUUAUCAAUGAUCUGGAUGAGGGGAUUGAGUGCACCUUCUGUGAGUUUACAGAUGACACCAAGUUGGGUGGGAGUGCUGAUCUGCUGGAGGGCAGGAAGGUUCUGCAGAGGGAUCUGGACAGGAUGGAUCAAUGGACCAAAGCCAAUUGUGUGAGGUUCAACAAGAAGUGCUGGGUCCUGCACUUGGGUCAUACCAACCCCACACAGCGCUAUAGGCUUGGGGAAGAGUGGCUGGAAAGCUGCCUGGGGGAAAAUUACCUUGGGGAUGCUGGUUGAUGGCCAGCUGAACAUGAGCCAGCCAUGUGCCCAGGUGGCCAAGGCCAACAGCAUCCUGGCUUGUGUCAGAAAUAGUAUGGCCAGCAGGACAAGGGCAGUGAUCAUCCCCCUGUACUCGGCACUGGUGAGGCUGCAUUCAGUUUUGGGUACUUUACUUCAAGAAAGAGACUGAGGUGCUGGAGCAUGUCCAGAGAUGGGCAACGGAGCUGAUGAAGGGUCUGGAGCACAAGUCUGAUGAGGAGCAGCUGAGGGAACUGGGGUUGUUCAGCCUGGAGAAAAGGAGGCCGAGGGUGGACCUUGUUAUUCUCUACAAUUACCUGAAAGGAGGCUGUAGGCAGGGGGGGUUGGUCUCUUUUCCCAGAUAACAAGCGACAUUACAAGAGGAAUCAGCCUCAAAUUGCACCAGGGAGGGUUUAGAUUGGAUAUUAGGAAAAAUUUCUUCGCUGAAAUGGUUGUGAAGCAUUGGAACAGGCUGCCCAGGGAGGCGGUUGAGUCACCGUCACUGGAGGUGUUUAAAAGACAUGUAGAUGUGUCACUUCGGGACAUGGUUAGUGGUGGACUUGGCAGUGUUAGGUUAAUGGUUGGACUUGAUGAUCUCAAAGGUCUUUUCCAACCUGAACGAUUCUAUGAUUCUGUGAUGCUAAGCUAUAACCACAUGCUUUAAUCUGAUUAUGAGACCGGCUGCAGGAAAUUCUCUGGCCUCUGUUGUGCCCAGUGUUGACUUAGUUGAUCAAAAUGGCAUUUCUGGCCUGAAAGUUCAUCAAUCAUAGGAGCCCAACAGAAAGCUUAUGGUAGUGUAGUAUAUUUAUAGAGGCACUUACAGUCUUUUAUAAAAAAAACAUUUUAUAUACAGUAAUUGAUUCAUGCUUUCCUCCCACACAAAUGCAACCACCACCAAGGAUGAGGUCUGUCUUGUUUUUUUGCAGGGGAUAGCAAUGGGGAAGAUGUAGGUAGGCAGCAUGUAAUUGUAAAAAAAAAAAAAGGAAUUUUAUCAUAACUUUGUGUUCACUUUUGUAAAAGAUUAAUGGGAUUUUUUAAGGGUCUGUGCAAGUUGGGCAGUAAUGUCACCUUUGAAUUGUGUUGGGGUUAUUGCUUCUGUACCAACAGUGGGAAUUUCUUGCUGGAUUAUCAUUACCUUGGCCUGGAAUAUCUCAGUGCCCUUUGAUCAGCAUUUAGGUGAGAGAAAUUUCAUUGUACCUCUUGUUUGGUACUGCAGGUAACUGUGUACUGCAAAUACAGCUGCGUGUCUGGCAGCGUGCUGCCUGUGUGCCUGCUUCUUGUUCAGACCAGCUGGCUGGUCUCCUUGCUGAAGGCUGUUACCUCAAACAGCAGAGUUGUUCUGCAGUGCGGUGUGUUCAGCCUUUACUGGUGCUCACCACAGCUUCUCCUGGAAGGAAAAUGGAUACUUGACUAAUCUGUCAGAAACUGGCUUGUCCUAAAUCAUAGGAACAAAGAAAAGCUUGUAAAGGAAACUGCUGCCCUAUCUUUAUCAGCCAGCCUUUCCUUAUUUCCAUUACAUGCAGCCUUGCUUAUGUCUCUGACACUUGAGGAAUACACAAGUUGUGCUCCUCUUCUUUUUCUUCAGACCAAAUGGCUUUAGGUCUGAUCCAAAACCCAUUCAGUUUGAGGGGAGCCUUUCUAAUGCUGUCAGGUAGCUUUGGAUCAUCUUCCUCACUUGCAUCCCUUUGGGAAAUCAGCUGGUGCACCUUUAACUUAUUCAUAGAAAGCUGAUCUGAGGAAGGCAGCAAUCAAAUAACUUCAGUGUAGCACCUGAAUGCUCUGCUUGAAACAGGUCUGUCAGAGGGUUGCUCGUCCCAAAGAAAGAGAUUACAAAGGAAGGAUUUUAUCCAGGAUAUAGUAUGAUUUCUAAUGCUUUCUAUUGAAUACAGGUAAAUAGAAAAACAUAGAAGACAAAGCAAUCUUUUUUAUGCAGCUUGCUUCCUCUGUCCCAUGGACAAAUUCCACUGGACCAACUUACACCCCUACUUUGACUGUCCUUGCUGUAAUAGAAGAUGUAUGAAGCUAGUCAGCUUUGAUCAUUUAAUGUAUGCCAACAUGAAAAAAUGGGCCUAGAGUCUGAAAUAAUACUGUCAAAUAUCUGUGGGAACUAAGGAAAUGGGCUUCAAAUCUUACCCCAGAACCAUCAAUGAAGUGUUUUUAAAGUGUGUUUGUUUGGUUUUUUUUAUUAAUACUCUGUCACUGAGGGGGUGUCUUUUAUGGAAAUAGAAGUUUUCCUUAUUUCUGACUUACUGGCUGGAGGUCUAAAUUAGAAUCGUUAGAAAUCCCGGAGGGAUAGAAGUGCACAAGGGCAGAGGGUCCUUGAUGGCUUCGUGAAGGAAGAAGGAAGCAUAGGGGGAGCCUGGAGCUCCGUGGUGCCUCCUGUGUGUCAGGGUUUAUGUAUGGACUGCAUGUGCCAUUCCACCCUGACUUUGGAGCAAGGCAUCACUGAGUCAACUACCGGAGAGGACAGCUUGUGAGAUCUCCUGGCCAAGGGUGGCUAGCAAAAGUGACAGCUACCACCAGUCACUCCAGGUGGAUGGUUUCAGAUGCUGAGAGAGCACCUGAGCUGGAUACAGUUGUUCUCCAUCAGAGCUGUACCUCUUGGUGCCGGAUGGGUCAUGCACGAAGGGUGGUUCUGAUCCGAGGAUCAGAUGGGGCUUCUCGAGAGUCCUGGGCUCUCAAGAGCCUCCACUGGAAGAGGGACGGCUGGAAAAGCUGCAAACUCAGCUUCUGCUUGGGCUUCAAAAAUUUCAAUAAGGGCAACAGUACGAGGUGGGUGGCAGGUUUGAAGGGUAGCAGGGAGUGUGACAGAGAGUGGCUGCAUGUUAUUCCCUCCUUUCUCUGAAGAAAGAGUUGCACUUCUUUAAUACAUUUUUAAUACAUAAUUGCUAGAAUGAAUAUUGCUUGUGCCAGAGGAAAUGUCAGCUGUCCUGCUAGGCAUCUGGGCUGGGACUGGUGCUGAUUUUACUGCUGCUCUUCAGCAGGGGCCUUUGGUGUCUAAACCUGACCCCUUCAAGGCUUGGCAGAGGCGUUACGUGUGAGCUGUGUCUAGCUCUUGAAGGCCCUGACUGGAGCUUCUAGAUGCUACUGAAAUGCUUACAUGUGCAAUGGCUGGACCACGGGGUUCAGACUGGGGCUUCAUGUUAUAGAAGAGGAGAAGUGACAGUCUGGAGAGGAGACCACAGCAGUUGUGGAAAAUGAGACUCAGUAUUAUUGCAGAGGGACCCUGGCCCAACGGGAAGAGGAGUGAGCAAGUACGGCUCAUGACAAUUACACACAGAAAUACUCAGACUGUAGCAAGGCACCUGAUCGUCAGAGGUACUCUGUCUCCAGGAUCCUGCUCUGUAUGAGAUUAGAACUGCAAAAAUACGUCAAAUACACAAGACCAUAUCAAUCAGAAAACAGAGAGCCAGCUGCUUGGUUCUGUUUAUUAUUUUGCUUUUGCAUCUGAUCCCAAUUGCAAGCAGAUUGAUACCAAUUCCUACAUGGCCAAAUACAGUCAGAAAAGCAUCCUGGGUGGUUUAAGCCCAAACUCCUUGGGGAAGAGUUAAUCCGGAGGGUGCAUUUUUGUUGUCUUGACUGGCAAGAUGAGGAGCCUGUGCUAGUGCUGAAAGCUCACAAAAGUAUUUCAGAAGCAUCUUAAUUCAUGGCUCAUAUCUCAGUUAGUGCGUCAGCAGAACUGGUUGCUCUACAGUAAAUCUUUCAGCAUUUGAGCCCAGCUGCCUCUGCCCUUUUCUAACAAUAAAGACGAGGGUCAAUUCUUCUCAUUAGUCAAUAAGAGCUGAAUUUAAAAAUAACAUGCUGAUGUUGCUGCACGGAAGUGUUUAAGCUGGAUUAAAUAUGAGAGGAAAAUAAAUCAGGGAAGAGCAAGCUACAAAGGGAAUUGCAGAUUCACUUUCCAGUCUGAAAGAUUUUUAGGGCAGGGACUGUCAAUUAUUUUGUUUGUACAACAAUCUUAACUUAGAUGGGGCCUCUAGCUGCUUCCACAAUGUAAAUUAUUGAUGCUGUUAGGAUCUACAAAAGACAUGUUCCUAGCUUUAAGCACAGGGCUAAUAAAACUGAAGUCUAGAGGAAUCCUGUAGCUCAAAGUUAAAUAUGUGCUUAUGUUCUUUGGGCUUCUUGUGGCUGCUUUAGAUGGUUAUGUACCUGACGUGAUCUUGAAAUAAUGAAGCUGGCUGUGCUGUGAUAGAGAAUAUAGGUCUGAAUACACACACUUGGAGGUUCCAGAUAAUUCUCAUGACCUCCUGGAGAAACUCAACCCCGUUGACUUCGCAGGAAACCACUUGAAAUAGAUAGUCCUUAUCCAAAGUGACAGCAGGUACACGAUCCUAAUAAAAGAAACAUGCACCCGUUGCACAUCAUCCUGUCAUUGCGUUACCUUGCCUGACAAAGAAAGGCGGCACGCUGUGAUCUGAAGAGAUCAGAGGUGACACAGUGCCCGACAAGGCAUCCCGGUUGAUGGAAGGGGAGUCAGGAGGUGGGGAGUGUGGGAAGGGAGCAGGUCUGGAACCACCUGGAGCUGUGCCUCAGCACUCGCUGGUUGCUUUGUGUUGGGUGGUCUGUGUCUGCACUCCCGGCGGCAGAUGGGAGUUUGUGAAGUGCCAAAUUGAGCCCUUACUAAGCAGGAAUAAUUUAAAAAAAAAAAAGGAAAGAAAGAAAGAAAAGAAGGUUAAUAAUCCUCAGGCGCUGGGGCCUUUUUGGCUUGCUGUUCUUCAUCCCGACCUUCAAACAACCUGCGCUAUGGCAGAUUGCAGGCUCUUACAGAUUUGCCAGCCCUUGCCUUUUGGUAAAAACCUUGCUUUGUUUUUGGCUCAGUUUACACUCCUUUUCAGCCUCGCUCGGAGGUGGGAGUUUGCAAUGUAUUAUGCAUGAUGUUAUUUAAACCUCCAUGUUGUUUGUGGUUUCUAUGAGGCUUUUUUAUUUUUUUUGGGGGGGGGCGUGUUUUGUUUUGUUUUUUUAAAUCUAUCACCUGUCUUUAGGAGCAAGACACUGCUGGCUAUCCUCACUGCAGAUGCAGUGCAAACACCUACCUGAUUAUGUCUGGUUGUUUGUCCUGCUUAGGGCCUCUGUCUGUGCUCUCUGGAUCUUUCAAGCUCUCUGCUCUGCUUUCCCUUUCAUACACUUGCCCUUUCCCUGAGGGAUAAGUUGCAGGCAGCCUGUGGGAGGCGAUGCCUGUGUAUUGACAGAGGAAUACCCUUCAGGUUGAAGAGUGUGCAUCGAAGGCAUCCAGGUGCUAGAAAAGAGCUCUGAAUUUUUCCUUUACUUUCCUCUUCCUGAGCAAGGGGAAACAAGCCAUGUAAUGCCUCUGCUUCAGCUCCUUACCUGCCCACCUGAAGUACGGAGCUGAGGAGCAAGUUUCUAUUUCUUACAAUGGAGUUAUCACCAUGUGGCUCUUUCUUGCAGGAAAAAGGUGAUGCAAAAAGCCUUCGGGGAGAUGCACAGCAGGAGCCCAUGAGAGAUCUACCUCUGAUGGGGCUCCUGCACCCAGAGGUGGGCUCUGACCUCUGCAAGCAAUGCUGUACUCACCCCAGUGCCUCCUGUUUCCCCUCAGCAGGAGAUGAUGCCUCCGAAAAAAGGGAAAUUGUGCCUCAGUGAGGGGCAGCAUCUCUCAGUUUUGCCAAAGGCUCAAGAGGAUGUUUGGCUCUGCAGAAAGAUGAGCAGUCUCAGGACAUCCCGUGCAAGGCACAGCCCCUGCUCCUUGGGCCUGGAAGGAGAUCCUUGGCUGAGCCUGGGUGGAGGACAUCUUGAACUCUGAUGGUUUGGGAGAUGCUGCUGAGCAUGGGUGGGUCAGAGACCACCCAUAGUUCUGAGGCUCCCAACUCUGAGUGCUGUCACCUGAAAAGAAGGUAUUUCCCUUCUUUCAACUCCUGUCUGCUUCCUCACAGCCUUUCCUUUCAGCAAGAGUCUUUUUCUGAGGGUGAGCAUACAUACGUCCUCCAUGGAGCCGCCAUCAGAGCUGUGCUUACAGGGCACUGUGCUAUGGGCAGAGCAAAACUGAUGCUCAAAUAGAAACUGAAAGAAGAAGAAAAGAUGGAGUUGCGCAGACCAGGAAGCCUGAGGUGACUGAAUGACACUUUUGCCCCUCUGCUGAAUUGUGCGUGUAAGUGUGCAAUGUGAUUACGUUGAAUCAACCCCACCUAGGGUAGAGACACUGUCAUCUAGGGUAAAGGGAUGCCCUUUAAACGAGGAAGACUUGGGAUCUGAGCUAGCCUGUGUGCUCCUCAAAAAGCUGCUGGAGAAAUCAAGGACAUGCUUGCAAAAGGCAUACUGCUACACCUUCAUGGCUUUUCCAUUCCCAAGCUCCAUAUGCUGCGGUGGAGAUUGCCUCCCCCGUAGAGAAAACCUUCAUGCUCUAGUGUGCUGAAUAGCUACAGUUUCUGCUGUAAGGCCAUCACUCACCACUUGUCUGGGCGCUGUGUAAAACUUGCCACAUUUCAACCCUGGAAAUCAGGUUUGGUUCAUCAGUUUUUUGGCAAAUCACUGGCUGGGUAACUUCUUGGCUGCACUGGGAUGACUUCUGAGCUCACAGGACCUGAUCAAUUUAAGAUGAAGAACCAAAGAAAUCUAAGGUUCAGACUGUAGGGUGUUUUUUCUGAUUUUAGGGGUACCCAUUUCUUGCUUCCCUAGAACAAACUUGGGGUCUGACCCUCCUUUUGUGAUGCUGCGGUGGCCCAGGCAAGGGUUAACAUCUCAAAGUCACCCACCCUUCUGCCCACCCUGCAACAGGCUUAGCUUGCCCUUCCAUUGUUUGGACUAAACCUUCCCAGAUUUACUUACUUCCUUUUGAUGUCUGGCAAUGUUUGUUUAUUAGCGCCAGUGGCCUGUGUUAACUCUGAGUAAGUCUUUGACUAAAUCCCAUUCUCUGCUUUUCCUCCUCCCUUCACGGGCUUGUGCAGUGAUAAACUUCAGUGCUGGCUUUCAAACCCAGUGAGGUCAAACAUGAACUUCUUUUACACCUGCCUGCUUUCCCAGCUAAUGGACUCUGGUGGCUUCGGAGAGAGGAGCCCUUUUAUGGCAAAGAGAAGGCUGCAAAGGUUGAUUUCAUUUCUGGGUCGUAUGUUCAAGAAGUGGGGUUUUCACUCUUGAAAAAGAGGAAAGGAUAUUUUAGUGAAUUCCCAGCUGUCCUGAGGUCAUCUGCUUAACCACAGCAGGAAAAUAGUAACAGAACAGGUAUAUAGCUAGUAAGUCACACAGUGUUAUAUAGUCCGCCAAGCAGUAUAUUAUUCCCUUUUCUUUCACGGUGUUUUAAGUACCAUUUUGGGACUCAGAGUUUAGUCAGCUUCGACCUAAAGUAUGAAUCAAGAGAAAGAAGAUGAGAGCUGUUUGGGAAAUGAUAAGUACUUCCUAUGGAAACAUUUGCAACAGUUCUGUUUUUCCUUUAAUCAUGGGAAAGUUCCAUCAAAAGAACAAAGCCUACCAAAAAAAACCCCUCAAAACAACAACAACAACCCCCACACCCCCCAACAAAAUACCAUGUUUUUUCACAUUUUUAAUAUUUGAAAAUUUUUAUUUUGCUAUGGGUCUAUCUCAGGGAAGGAGGAAUUGAAAAAUCCCCUACAACUAUUUGUAUCUUUUUAUUUUAAGACACAAAAAAAUUCCUGACUAGCUUUUGCUUGUGUGAUUUAAUUACAGAUAUAAGCCCUACUGUCAAAUUCUAUACAGGUUGUGUGCUCUAUGUUAAUAUAAUUAUAAAAUAAGGCUACUUGAUAAUAAUUUUAAAGUAAAGAAUCUGUGUAUUUUUAUUACUUCAUUAUUUUGUCUUCUAAAAUGCUCUUCAUCAGCAAUGAUUAAUUCUUGAGUCAUCAGUAUCGAAGAGUCCUAAAAUGUCUUGUGGUUGCUUAAAUAUUCUUUUUGCAGGGCUUACAAAACCAUUGAUUUUUAAAACUGUGUUUCAAGGGUAUAUAGGCGUUCCAGCUGGGGCAGUAACUGUGGUGGCAGUCUGCAGUUUUCUAUGCAGUGAAAGUGUCUUUUCAAAAAAGAACUCACAUUCAAACCAGAGGUGAUGGACACGAAGAGGAAGGAUUAUAGAAUAUGAACUGCAGAGUGAAUCCAGAUUGCACUGAAAGGUUUUAAAAGCCCAGGGAAAGUUUGUGGUCAUCCAGAACUGAAUUUAUCAUGACAGUCAGAAGACAUAAUAACAGCCCUCCUUUUUCUCUCCAUUCCUCUGUUUUUUUUCAUUGUGUGUUUUGUCCAACUAUAGCAUUUUGGGGAAAAUCUUUUACCUCGCUUUGGCAAUAAGUCUUUGAUCUCUUUUGGUGCAGUGACGAAAAGACCUCUGCUGAAGGUUCCUGAGGUGGUUUAAGAAAUUGUUACCCUAUGCCUCUCCAGCCCUGGCAGAGCAGCUCAGGGGAGUAAAUGCCCGUUUUUCUGCCCCUCCAUAUCAUAGCCCAGAUUCCCUUCUCCAUCUCAGCCCCACAGCAGGUUCUUCACCGGUGCCCCAUGCCAGCUUGGAGCAGGAGAUGCACCAUGUGGUUGUGCCAGGAAAAGCUACCAACGGGAUCCACAGGGAUGCUUAUGUGCCUGACUUCCACCUGUCUCCGCAAGCAUCUGGGACCUGGUCACCAAGCCUGCAAACUAGACUUCUCAGGACAUUUAGGCACUAGGAAGGAGAGCAGACUGCUAUUUAAUUUUAAAGAUCAAAGUCUGACACUGUCCGUCUGUAAGCAGAUAUUUCUGUCUGUUUAGGAACCUUUUGGUUUCAAGAAGUCUCUGGUUUGCGCAAUCACGACUUUCACCAGCCCUUUCUGCAGCCAGCCUACUGCCCAGAUGUGCCCAGAAAUAUUCUGCAGAAGCCUGGGAACAGCUCACUGUUUACUGUGAGCCUGGGGGCACUAUUUUCCAGUGGGAAGGCACACCAGCUGACUGGGUUUCAGCAUGUGGCUUUUUCAGCAAAAUUUUGAGGAGUCAUAAUGUCUUGCCUCGGAGUUGUUGUCCCUUGCAAGCUGCCUAGCUGUAGUCAGUCUCUCACCUAAUGCAAACAUCUUAACCAAUGCAUGAAAAUUGACACGAGAGGCUUUCUUUGAGCAAGUUCAAGUCUUAGCUAACAACACAGACUGUCUUUGGUCUUCCUGUCUCAGGGACACUGACCUCUCCCUCUUCCAGACUGACAAAUGGAAUACUUUCUCUGGAGAGGUAAUGGAAGUGCUAUUAGCGCAGUCAAUGUCCAAUACUUUUGCAGCAUGUUGUGUAACCGUCUCUGCUCAGCCAUCCCCCCAGGAUUAUGUCAGGAUUUCAGGGUUUGGUCCCCUUCCAGGCCCUGCAUCAUCUGGUCCUGCUGUUAGCUCCAUGCAGGAGCUGGGGUGUGGUGUGCAAUAGCAGCAGCCUCCUUUUCCCCACCAAGAUGCUGGUGAGGAGGCUUUCUGGGAGAGCAGAUCUGGAGCUAUAGCAGGUACUGUUUGGUUGCUCCAGAUCAAUUACCUUGGGGAGCUUUGUAAGAAAGCUGGGACGACAUACAGCCCUAGGAGCGUUGCUGUGCUGAAAUGGCCAAGGUGGAGAGAACCCAUGACAAGCUGGAAAUGGUCAGGAGACAUAGGAAAGCACAAGCUGCUCAGGGCACAGGGCACAAACCCUUCUUGGUCUGACUGCUCUUUCAAAGUCUGUGACCAACAUUUGUUUCACACUGACAAAAAAAAAAAGUUUUGGUGAGCAGCCCCAGCACACACCUUAAAAAGUGGGGACUGGAGUCCUUGCCUCUAUAUAAACAAACUUUGGGAGAGGACUAAAAACAUCUUGUUAGGUCCAAACAAGUGAAACAAAGCAAUUUUGAAUCAUUCUCAAUUAAAAUAAUUAAAGGCUGUUAAAAAUCCUGUCUGAAGAUGAUAUGUUUUCUGAAUAAAAAUCCCUAAAUGAAAUGGUUCCAGAGUGGGGGGUGUGUGUGUGUGUGUAAUUUUUUGAACUAAAGCAAUUCAGUGGGUUAGCUAGAAACUUAUAAAAAAGGAGUUGCCAACCCCAAUUUAUAUUUUUUUCUGGUUAAAAAAAGAUACCUCAAACCCACAUUUGGUUGAAACUUUUAUUUAUCUUUUCUUCUGAGGCUGGUGAAUGCAGAGGAAUGGAGAUGUACAAGACAACUAGAUGGGCAUCAGUUUAGUGUUAAAGUUCUUGAGUAAAUGCUUAUAUGAUCAUAAGAUGAGUUGGGUUGGAAGGGGUCUUCAGCGGUCUCUGGUCCAGAUUCUUGCUCAAAGCAGGGGCAGCUCCAAGACUGGGCUGCUCAGGGCUUUAUCCUGAGCUUUAGCCUCCAUUCUAGGAGUCUAACUGUACCCUGUUCUUUCUAGAUGGAUGAGAUUUUGGAUACUCCACAAGAACCCAUGAGGCUCUGAAUGCAAUUGUUUUCAUCUGGAAGAGCCAGGAGAGGGCUAUGGAUUUGCCUCACUUCUAUUCUCUGUCCUCGUGGCUCAAAGUCUGACAUCCUACCAUAUGUAAAGGUCUAUCUAGCUGGGGAAGUGUAAAGUCAGGGGUUUUCCUUAGUGUUUCUGCUCAGCAACUGUUUUUCCUGUGGCAAAAGCGGUAUCAUACAGUUUGUCCAGAGUGGUAUGGCAUCACAUUUUGGAUCACCCAAAGCUAAGGGCAGUGAUUUCAGAGGGGAAACUGAGGCAAUGGGCCCAUCUGAUGAGACAGAGAGAGAAAAACCAUUCUGGGCACAGAGCACAUAGGUCUGCUACCUGGCUGUUACACUGUUUUCUUUCCUGCACUGGAAAUGAAGGCACACACCUAAUUUUCCAUAGGCUUACCUAUUGUCUCCAGGACUCAAAGCUGUACAUCAAGAUUCCUUUCAUCUUUUAAGCAGCAGAUUUUCACUAUGAUUAAAGAUGCAUUUUCUUUUUCUGCCUGUUGAAGGGAAAACUGAUCACAUAUUUCCAUUCUUUAUUUUCCACGCUACUGCUUUAAUAUAACUUCCUCUUAAUAAAGGCAAACCAAGAGAAAACCAGUACUGAAAAGCUCAGAUAGUUCCAUGUGUAGCAAAGCCAAGGAAGUUUUAUUUCCUAUAGAUUUGUAUCUUGAGGUUGAAUUUUUGUGUGGUCUCUCUGGUGUCUAAUGAUAGCUGAAUCACAGGAUGAUUUAGGUGGGAAGGGUCUCCUCAAGGUUUCUAACCCAGCAUCAUGGUCAGAGCAGGACUAACUCUGGAGUUAGAUCAGGUUUUUUGCGGUCUCAUUCAGCCAGGUUUGGAAAUCUCCAAGGUUGGAAAGUGCCCACCCUCUCAGGGGUCUUAUCCCAGCACUGAACUCCUCUGAAGGUGAAACUAUUUUCUUUUGUCCAGCUGGAAUAGCCCCCAUUGCAAGUUGCAGAUGUUUCUUCUUGUCCUUGCACCGUGCAUCUCUCAAAAGGGGCUAGUUCCAUUUUCCCUGUUUUCCUUCCAUCAGACAGUAGAAAACAGCAACUUGAUACCCCUUCCCUUAGCUUUCUUCUCUCCUGGUUGAACAAAGUCAGCUGCCCCAGCCUGUCCUUGUACCUUAUGAGCUUCAGUGCCCUCACCAUCUUAGUGCUCUUCACUUGGAUGCCUUCCAGUUUAUCUACCUCUUAUAAUGUGGUGGUGGUCCCAAACAAGACACAAUAUAGGUUUUUUCUUUAUGUGAUUUUUAUUCUUCUUCCUCACCCUCCUAUUUGCAUGACUUUUGUGUCUUUGAGUCUUCCAUCUCUCUAUCAAUGUAUUUAUUAAUUUUUUACCUGAAAGUGUGCUUUAAAGUUAUUGCUGGGAAGGAAAGGCCAGCAUACAGGUAGACCCAGUCUUACGCAGUGUGACUACAUAAGCCUCGUAUUCGUGGGAAAGAAGGCUAAAAGGAAACACCAGCAGUGAUAACACAUGGGUCUGACAUGGAAAGAGAGGGGAAGAACUGGUGAGGGCUGGACAGAUAUCCUUCCAGAUCAGUUGUGUCUGUAGAAGACGUUACCUUUCUGAGGUAUUUGUCAUGGUUUCCUGCUGGUAUUUACUCACCUCUCAGACAAAAUUAUUUCUUCUAAAAUCAGCAGGGUUAAUCUAUUGAUUAAUUGAUUGCUAUCUAUUUAUUAACCACACAGAAUUGAGGCUGUUUCAUGUAUCCUGGUGGACUCUACAUUAUGCAAAUGCACAAGUGCCAGUAGAGUAUGAGCAGAUAUUUUGGUGGGUACCCUGCUUGGCACUCUCCCCUGUUUGAAGGUAUUGAGCCUGCAGACCUACCCGCUAAGCUCAUCUCCAGCUGACCUGAGAUGGUGAAGGGAGGGAGCUGAAGACACAGCUAAUUACCAUGCACAUAGGGUAUCUAAAAGGAUGUGCUUCUAUGAUCUUGUAUCAUAAGGGGUUUUGUCAGCACAAAUAAGACAUAUACGGGUAAAAAAAUGUUUUACACCAGAAGAAGGUCAGGUCGUUUCCAGGAGCGUAUUUCUGGCAUAGGAAAGGGGGUGCAGAUUUUAUGGGCAAAACUCCUCUUUCACCCGGGUAUCUUGGUGGAGUAUUCUGUGCAGCUUAAAGCACAGCUGUUUGGAAAUCAGUUUAGGCUGGGUACUUUCGCCAGCUUAGUUAUAUCUGUCACACACUGCAGCCUAGCACACCCGUACUGAGGCUUUCCAAAGGCUGCAUUGUAGAUACGGUCUAAACAGAACUAUUAUAAAAAAUUUUGCACUAGCAUAGCUGUAUUGAUUCUUGGAGGGUUAGUGAUUCUGCUUUGCUUGUAAGAUUACAGCUAAAGUGGCAAACCUUCCUGAGAAGUCAUCUCUAUUCGAUGGCAGUUCAUUUUCAGUUUCUCAGAGGUUAUCAUGAACAUGGAAAACAUCCAACAAAUGGAUUGUUCCUGCAGAUGCAAUGAAUGCAGAUUGAAUCACCCUUGAGUACAGCUAAGCUUUCAGACAGCAACAGAGCAUCAUACCUGUGUUAUAUUAGUUUUGCAUAUUUAUAAGCUAAGGAGUGUUACACAUUUGACAUGGCAAGUUGCUGCUCAGCUUCCAAGACAAACAGACACUUUCAGAAACUCCACAGAAUACCCUUGUAGAGGAUGCUGCAGGCUGAAGUUGGAAACAUACAUUUCGAGUAGCUAAAGCCAGGGCUUUUUCUCUUUUGAAUUACUGCGUUUGGGUUUAUUUUCUUUAAACCAGCUGGUUUGUCUCUUUCCUAUGCCAUUUCAUUUCUUGUCUACAUGCAAACGUCUUUUCUUCCAUCCUCCAGUCUUCAUCCAAUAAUUAGCAUUUGAAGGAGCACCCUAAGAUGACAACAGAUAGUGAAGUUGGCCCUUUAAAGAGUCUUCAGAUAAUAAAAUGGUCCUGCAUCAAGCUGUGGGUUUUAUUUCCCACAGGCCAUGCAGAAAUCAGCAUGAACUCUUCACAUUUUCCAGUGCUUUGUACAUAUUUAUUUCUGUUUUUUCCUUGAAAUUUAGGAGAUAGAGCCCUCUAAGGAAAACAUCCUCUCUUCCUUUGUAUGGCGUCUGAUCCAAAUCACAAAGCCUCUCUCUUUGCCAAAACGACUUUUUUUCUUUCCUGCCUGGUCUCACGGGCUGUCUUCCACUAAGCAACUGAGUCAUCUGGUUCCUCUCUGCCUCCCAAACUUCCUUUGGUGCUGAGUAUUCUUCCUUCACAAGUUCCAGUUUGUGCUUUUCUGCUCGGGGGCUUUCCCACUUUUCACCCCUUCCUUCUUUUGGACUGUCUGUAUUGGGUGUCUUUUCCUGUUCACAGACUUGCUUUUCUUGCCUGCCCUUCAGAAAAAUCCUGCCAUAAAGAAAUUACUCCUCCUCUGUUUUGUGUAACCUCUGGACAGGAGUUGACAUGUGCUGAAGGCCCUGACCACUGAUGGGUUUACCAUACUUUGAGCAUUUCAGAAAAUUUUGGUGACAUUUACAAACCACCACAAUCAGAUGUUCCAAGCUGUCUUAUGAAGCUGUUUCAUAUGCAUCUACUUACACAAACUGAUAGUACAGAGUGCUCAGUGUCAAACUGAGCAUCAGCAACUUAAAUCCUGAUGAAAUCUCAAUUUCAGUGGUAGCCAAGCAGCUGUUAGUUUCUCUCUGGUCAUUCAUCCCAGCAAGAAGAAAGUGCUGUUGAUUACCUUUUUAUGUUUUAAGAUUGCAUCUCUGAAAGUGUAGUAGAAAUUGUUAUACUCCAGUGUUAUGGGUUUUCACUGUCAGUUGUUAACUAGGGGCAAAUGCAGAGCCAAGUUUGAGACCGAGCAACCUCAAUGGCUCAGAACAGAACCCAUCUGCCCACCUGUAGGGCUGCUGCAUCAUCUGUGGUUGGAUUGGCACCUUGACAUCCCCUCAUAUCACAUAAAACUAUGUCUGCACUGUACACUCAUGUUUUGCCACCUUCACACCCACUUACUGGAAAAAAAAACCUUAAAAGUUAAGGCUGUAUACUUAUUACUUAGAAAAGGAGUUUUUCUGAAGCAGAAAAGAAAUGGGCAAGAGCCCAUGAGGUCCCCUAGCAAGCGAGGUUCAGGCCAGUCACAGUUUUAAGUACAACUCUGCCAUGCAGUUGAGAAGACCUAUUGUGUUAGCACGGUUUUGCCCUGUUGUUAGCUUUCAGGAGAUGACUAAUGUGCCUUAAUUAAUCCUGGUGUGAAAAACAUACUUUGUAGGCAACACAGACAAGGCCAAAACUGUGAGCAAGUUACUGCAGCUUCGUGACUUGCUUUACAUCAGGGAGAUGUUGUCUGCAUAAGGGGGCCAACACAAACUGUGCUUUUUGCUCAAAACUGAUUUACUGAAAGAAAUUAUAACCUGACCUUAGCUCAAGAAAAAGCAUCUUCAUAAAUAGAAAAAUACCAUCAAAAAUUACAAUUAACCAGGAAGACAUGAUGUAUCACACAGGACAGCAAUGAAUAUUGGUGAUGCUACAGUGUGACAAAGGUACAGUGAGUUCAGAUGUACUGUUCCGUAUAAUCUAGACAUGAUUUCUGGAUGCAGUGUAAGUGCUGUCAUGUUUGGGGUUUUUUUUGUUUGGGGUUUUUUUUUUGGUUUUUUGUUGUUUUGGUAAUCAAGUUAAAUCCUGACUUAAAUCAGAGCAUUGGUAGCGACGGCAGAUACACACUGUCACUUCCAGCCAGAAAGAUCUCAAAUCUCUUUGUAGACAGAUAUGCAAAGGUCAUUUUGUCCAGAGCUGAAAACCAGCUCUCUCUGGAAUAAAAAUGAAGCAGGAAGUAGAAAUGUGCAGAAAUACCAGGCCAGGAAGUGAAGACUUCCCCUUCCAACCGAAGGGCAGAGGGACGGUUAUGUGAUUAAAGUAUUAGCCAGAAGACUGACAUAACAAAACUGCCUUUUCCAGUGUCUUUCAGACAUAAACACUGCAUGCAAAUAAAAGUAUUGGAUCCAAGUUAGUGGUGAGCGAAAUCUCUGCUUAGAGUUGGAUAUUUUGUUGAUUUUACUUUGAAUGUUUUGGUGCAAUGGGGUGACAAUGGUAUAACUGACUUUGAGACCAGUACCCGGUCCAGAUCGACCAAAUGGGAAGUCUGAGGGUGAAAAUGGUCUGCAUGAGGCCCAAAAUGCUACCAGUAUAUUGAUUAUGUGGUUGCAUGGGGAUUUUUAUCCGAAGUAUGCUGGUCACAUAUCUUGUACCUGUCCUGCAGCCACUUAGGGUGGUAGAACAUGUCCCCUUUGAACACACUUGCUUUGAAAGGAUGGCUGAGAUGAAGGCAAGAAUAUUGAAAAUACCUUAAUUUGAGGGGAAUGGCUUGACCAUAGUGAGGGUCAUGAAGCUAAAGCAGUCAUUCCUGGGUCUGAUCCUGAGCUAUGGAAAGGUCACCAUGCUGAAUGAGGUUGCCUUGGGCUUGCUUCAGUUUGGCCCAACUUUAGUGCUUCAUUUCAGGCUUGGCGUAACGGGCUGUUAUGGGUAUCAGCCAAAAUAAAAGCCAAAACUGGGUGUGGGGUGGGGGAAUUUCAGUUUGUGCAAAAUUAUUUGUGGAUGGAGGUGAAAGAGAACAAGAAAAGCAGCUGGGAUGCCAUGGCACAGGCAGUGGUUUAAGAACAAAGAUAGCUCUAGGGAGUAAGUUCCAAGUCAGGGAAAACAAACCCUUGAUGCAGGUCAAACCAACACCUGGUUCCUCUGAAACACUGAUGCCAGAUCGGUGCUCGAAGAUGUUGCCAGGUAGGGUACUUGUCGCAGAGCUCUUCUACUGGGAACACAGUUUAUUCUGGUAAAGGUGAAGGUGAAGCUUUGGCUGGUGAUUUAGCCCUCUCCUUUCUGUCCCCUGAUCAUUAGCAAAAUAAAUUCUGCUAACAAGAAUAUAGUUUUAAUGGAGCAUCUUUCAUUCUGCUGGAGUUAACACUGCUAUGUCAGCCCAAAUCCAGCAUAUUUGGGCCAGAAAAAAAUAGUGGCUUUAGCCUCAGGUGACACCCGCUCAUCCUCUUUACUUGCUAGAAUGAUGAAGCCUCAUGAUUUUAAUGUCAGAUGUAAGAUUUCAAAUGAGAACAAGGGCUGGUUCCAGAUCUUCCUCUCUGAAAUGCAUGUUUGGCUGCUGCGGGAGGAGGAGGGUUUAUUGCAUGCACUCUGUGAAAUGGCUUCUCCCCGCUCUGGAAACAGCAAAGCUGAGUGGGUUGGAGAAGUUCAUGCACGUGCGUGUGUGUCUUGCACUGGUAGGGCCUGGAGACUACACUCUUGGGUCACUUCUAUGCUAAAUGGUGGGAAACAGUAAUGCAAACACCUUCAUAUUGAAUCCCAGCAGGUUUCAACCCUGACUUUUGGUGGGAGAGUGGCUUUUUCUAACACAGCUUGCUCGGUCACUAUUUGACUUGCCAACUAAGAUGGGCAACAAGAGGUUUCUUAGGAGCUAAUGAGAAGUUUAAGCUAGUGGAAAUCUUUGCCUAGAGCCUCUGGUGAGUUCUGCAUCAGGUUUCAACUUGAUUCCUUCCUGGUAAUUGGUAGGUAGCUCUGUGGGUGACAGUCUGAUCGUUUAGGGAUGGGACCGAUGUGUCCAAGACAGAGCCUAACAGCUGCUCCAAAAGACCAAUCUGAGUAAGCCCACUUAUGUAAACCACUCAGGAGUGAUUGGGUGGUUGCAGCCACUUCUGACUUUGAGCGUGUUUUCUCAGUUGUAGUCACCAUAGCCUGUUCCAGUUAGAUGCAAAACCCCUGCUCCUCAGAGGAGACCUUUGUGGCUGAACAGCAAGGCUGUGUCAUACUACUAGUAGAAAAGUAGUGCUUUUACUCUGCUAGAGGGAAAGGAGAUGGAUGGGCAUUUCAGGAGGAACAGUGGUCUGCAUCCUCAAAGAUAUUUAGGUACUUGAUUCCUAUUGAUUUUCUCAUGAUCCAGGUAGCACGUAAAUACCUGGAACAAUUUGGCCAGAGAUAAGCUGGUUUCUUUAUGAAGCUGCACUGAAUGUUAAACGUAGCAAUGGCUCAAAUGCUGAAAGGAAAACUGGAGAGCAAAAGACCCACGUGAUUAUUUGGGGCCAUGAGAAAAGGCCCAAAGGACAGCCAAGCAAGAAUUGCUCUAUGAGAUCUGAAGGCAUUCUGUGCUGGCAGUUCAUCGAUGAAGGUUGCUCAUUAUUUGCUUAUUUUGAACGUGUUGUUUGCUGAAGGCCAAAGCCUGUCAGAUCUUAGGAAGGCUCUUUUUCAAGAGCUUUUGUUGCUUCAGCAAACAGGUCAUGAGUCCAACCCACCCACUCCACAAACAAACAUUUCUCCAAAUUAUCAGGGGAAUGGAAUUCAUUUGACAGAGAUGUCAGUUUUGUAGAGACAGAUUGCUUAGGGUGUGGGGGUUUUAUUGUGUGUGUCCAAGUCUUUGCCCUCCACUCCUCAACUUUCUCCUCAUGCAUCCCGUAUAAUGACUCUGUGUGUGUGUUCAUUUUGUUCCACCUUCGAAAGCUGCUUACCUUUCUAAUUAUACUCGCUAAGUAUUCAGUACUUGUUGGCUGUGUUCCCAGAACAAAGGCUAUAGCUGAAUACAAAUAACUGAAUUAAAAUAAUGUUGGCUUAUAAUCAGAGGAAGGCCCCGUGUUGCUUAAGGAGUUUGAGAUAUCACUAAGCAGAAAGGUAAUUCUACCGGCUCACAUGUAAAUUGGAUGCCUGUAUCCUUUCCAAACCCACCUCCAUACUCGCUUACCUGGUAAGCCUUGUAGUGGACUAAACAGAGAUGGUGGCAACAGUUAAAAUAGUAUAUUGGGGCAAGGAGGAACCGUAAGUGGGUAAGAGUAUUUUCCAGAGACAGUAACGCACAGAACACCAGAGCUUGAGUAGAAGUGCUUGAAAUGUUGAAAUGAAAAUAGGGCAGGAAUUACUUAUAGAUGGUAUCUAAAAGAGAUUUUAGUGAAAACCUGCUGCAGAAAUGCUGUCUUAAUCUCACAUUAUUAAGAUUAUUGCAUAUUCAAGAAACUAGUUUGGUUCUGAGAAAGAACUGGAAAGAACAGUGGAUGAGGGCAGCUUUUGGAGGAAGUCUAAUAGAAUCCUCUUCCAAAAGAAGGGAACACAGAACUGACAUAUGCAAAGAAGAAAUUUCAUCUCUCUGCACUGGUGAUUAAUUCAGAAAAAAAAAGAUGAAGAAGAAAAAAAAAAGAAUGGAAGACAUAGCUUAUUGUGGUCUUAAAUUUAAAUGCAUCCAAAUUGUCAAUAGCCAUGAAUUAGAAAGUACUUUUGUCCAGAUUUUAGCUGUUGAGUUUAUUUUUG